rnacentral:rRNA from 1 species
GCUGGCGGCGUGCCUAAUACAUGCAAGUCGAGCGGAUCUUCAUUAGCUUGCUUUUGAAGAUCAGCGGCGGACGGGUGAGUAACACGUGGGCAAANNGCCUGUAAGACUGGGAUAACUUCGGGAAACCGGAGCUAAUACCGGAUAAUCCUUUCCCUCACAUGAGGGAAAGCUGAAAGACGGUUUCGGCUGUCACUUACAGAUGGGCCCGCGGCGCAUUAGCUAGUUGGUGAGGUAACGGCUCACCAAGGCAACGAUGCGUAGCCGACCUGAGAGGGUGAUCGGCCACACUGGGACUGAGACACGGCCCAGACUCCUACGGGAGGCAGCAGUAGGGAAUCUUCCGCAAUGGACGAAAGUCUGACGGAGCAACGCCGCGUGAACGAUGAAGGCCUUCGGGUCGUAAAGUUCUGUUGUCAGGGAAGAACAAGUACCGGAGUAACUGCCGGUACCUUGACGGUACCUGACCAGAAAGCCACGGCUAACUACGUGCCAGCAGCCGCGGUAAUAC